AUACGUAGGGAGCGAGCGUUGUCCGGAAUUACUGGGUGUAAAGGGAGCGUAGGCGGGAGUGCAAGUCAGAUGUGAAAUACAUGGGCUCAACCCAUGGGCUGCAUUUGAAACUGCAUUUCUUGAGUGAAGUAGAGGUAAGCGGAAUUCCUGGUGUAGCGGUGAAAUGCGUGGAUAUCAGGAGGAACACCGGUGGCGAAGGCGGCUUACUGGGCGUUUACUGACGCUGAGGCUCGAAAGCGUGGGGAGCAAACAGGAUUAGAUACCCUGGUAGUCCACGCUGUAAACGAUGAUUACUAGGUGUGGGGGGACUGACCCCUUCCGUGCCGCAGUUAACACAAUAAGUAAUCCACCUGGGGAGUACGGCCGCAAGGUUGAAACUCAAAUGAAUUGACGGGG
rnacentral:rRNA from 1 species